CCUAGCCAUCUCAUUUUUGGCGUCACAUGCUGAAUUGAGUACCGUAUAUACUCGAGUAUAAGCCGAGUUUUUCGCCACAUUUUUUGUGCUGAAAAAGCCCUCCUCGGCUAAUACUCGAGUCGCUGUCUGUAUUAUGGCAACUUACAUUGCCAUAAUACAGACCAGGACCGCCAGGCUCAUUACAAGCCCAGCGGUCCUCGGGGGGCCGGGAGCAAGCUG